rnacentral:tRNA from 1 species
GUUCCCUUAGCUCAGUUGGUUAGAGCAAGACACUCAUAAUGUCAAGGUCAUCGGUUCAAAUCCGGUAGGGAACACUA